GACGUAGGAGGCGAGCGUUGUCCGGAUUCAUUGGGCGUAAAGAGCGCGCAGGCGGCUUGGUAAGUCGGAUGUGAAAUCCCGAGGCUCAACCUCGGGUCUGCAUCCGAUACUGCCCGGCUAGAGGUAGGUAGGGGAGAUCGGAAUUCCUGGUGUAGCGGUGAAAUGCGUAGAUAUCGUAAGGAAGACCAGUGGCGAAGGCGGGUCUCUGGACAGUUCCGUGACGCUGAGGCACGAAGGUCAGGGGAGCAAACGGGAC
rnacentral:rRNA from 1 species